rnacentral:rRNA from 1 species
CAUUUAUUAGAUAAAAAGCCAAUGCAUGCUUUUACAGUAUGGAAAUUGGUGAUUUAUAAUAACUUGGCAAAUCGCAAAGUGAAAACAGGCGAUAAAUCAUUCAAGUUUCUGACCUAUCAGCUUUCGACGGUAUGGUAUUGGCUUACCGUGGCAGUGACGGUUAACGGGGGAUUAGGGUUCGAUUCCGGAGAGGGAGCCUGAGAAACGGCUACCACAUCUAAGGAAGGCAGCAGGCGCGCAAAUUACCCAAUUCUAACAGUUUGAGAGAGGUAGUAACAAGAAAUAACAAUACAAGGCAAUUAAAAUGCUUUGUAAUUGGAAUGAUAGAAAUUUAAACCCUUUUUAAAGUAUCAAUUGGAGGGCAAGUCUGGUGCCAGCAGCCGCGGUAAUUCCAGCUCCAAUAGCGUAUAUUAAAAUUGUUGCAGUUAAAAAGCUCGUAGUUGAAGUUCUGCUAAAAGUAACCGGUCUGCUUUUAAUAAAAGUGGUAUCUUGGUGUGUAUUUAGCAAUGAUGUCCUUUGAAGUGUUUUUUACUUUAUUGUAAUAAAGCAUAUUCAGGACUUUUACUUUGAGAAAAUUAGAGUGUUUCUAGCAGGCCGACGCUUUGAAUACUGCAGCAUGGAAAUAAUAAGA